AAAUCACGCUGAAAGCACAGGUUUUCGUUCGAUCACCAAUGUUAAGCAGCGUCGAGUUUGAUCAGUACUUAAAUGGGGGACCGCUUGGGAGCACCGCAUACUGUA